CGCGUAGGCGGCACAGCAAGUCGGGAGUGAAAGCCCGGGGCUCAACCCCGGAACUGCUUUCGAAACUGCUGAGCUAGAGUACAGAAGGGGCAACCGGAAUUCCCAGUGUAGCGGUGAAAUGCGUAGAUAUUGGGAAGAACACCUGAGGCGAAGGCGGGUUGCUGGGCUGAUACUGACGCUGAGGCGCGAAAGCCAGGGGAGCAAACGGGAUUAGAUACCCCGGUAGUCCUGGCCCUAAACGAUGGAUACUUGGUGUGUGGGGUUCUCUGAGUCCCCGCGUGCCGGAGCUAACGCGGUAAGUAUCCCGCCUGGGGAGUACGGUCGCAAGGCUGAA
rnacentral:rRNA from 1 species